UACGAAGGGGGCUAGCGUUGCUCGGAAUCACUGGGCGUAAAGCGCACGUAGGCGGCUUGUUAAGUCAGGGGUGAAAUCCUGGAGCUCAACUCCAGAACUGCCUUUGAUACUGGCAAGCUUGGAGUCCGGGAGAGGUGAGUGGAACUGCGAGUGUAGAGGUGAAAUUCGUAGAUAUUCGCAAGAACACCAGUGGCGAAGGCGGCUCACUGGCCCGGUACUGACGCUGAGACACGAAGGCCAGGGGAGCAAACGGG
rnacentral:rRNA from 1 species